rnacentral:rRNA from 1 species
UAAAACGUAGGGGGCGAGCGUUGCCCGGAUUCACUGGGCGUAAAGCGGGUGUAGGCGGUCUCUUAAGUCGGAUGUGAAAUCCUGCGGCCUAACCGCGGAACUGCAUCCGAUACUGGGAGACUUGAGGACGGUAGAGGUCGGUGGAAUUCCCGGUGUACCGGUGAAAUGGACAGAUAUCGGGAGGAACACCAGUGGCGAAGGCGGCCGACUGGGCCGAUCCUGACGCUGAGACCCGAAAGCCAGGGUAGCGAACCGGAUUAGAUACCCGGGUAGUCCUGGCCGUAAACGGUGCGAACUAGGUGUGGGGGCUGUCAUGGCCUCUGUGCCGAAGCUAACGCAUUAAGUUCGCCGCCUGGGGAGUACGGCCGCAAGGCUA